GACGAACGCUGGCGGCGUGCUUAACACAUGCAAGUCGAACGAAAAUACCAAGCUUGCUUGGUUGAUUAGUGGCGAACGGGUGAGUAACACGUGAGUAACCUGCCCCUUACUUUCCUGGAUAACUGCUCGAAAGGGUAGCUAAUACGGGAUAUUCUGACCAGCCUGCAUGGGUUGGUUUGGAAAGGUUGUUUUUCUGGUAAGGGAUGGGCUCGCGGCCUAUCAGCUUGUUGGUGGGGUGAUGGCCUACCAAGGCUUUGACGGGUAGCCGGCCUGAGAGGGUGGACGGUCACACUGGGACUGAGAUACGGCCCAGACUCCUACGGGAGGCAGCAGUGGGGAAUAUUGCACAAUGGGCGCAAGCCUGAUGCAGCGACGCCGCGUGAGGGAUGAAGGCCUUCGGGGUGUAAACCUCUUUCGUCAGGGAACAAGGCACUGCUUUUUUGGUGGUGUUGAGGGUACCUGGAGAAGAAGCGCCGGCUAACUACGUG
rnacentral:rRNA from 1 species